GAUGAAGAACGCAGCGAAAUGCGAUAAGUAAUGUGAAUUGCAGAAUUCAGUGAAUCAUCGAAUCUUUGAACGCACAUUGCGCCCGCCAGUAUUCUGGCGGGCAUGCCUGUUCGAGCGUCAUUUCAACCAUCAAGCCCCCGGCUUGUGUUGGGAACCUGCGGCUGCCGCAGGCCCUGAAAACCAGUGGCGGGCUCGCUGUCACACCGAGCGUAGUAGAUUUUCAUCUCGCUCAGGGCGUGCUGCGGGUUCCGGCCGUAAAAAGCCUUAUUUACCCAAGGUUGACCUCGGAUCAGGUAGGAAGACCCGCUGAACUUAAGCAUAUCAAUAAGCGGAGGA
rnacentral:misc_RNA from 1 species